AUUGGCUCUGGAGAGCGGUCUAAAUUGAGACCCACCGAAGGUGAUACGUGUUUUUGACACUCAAUCUCUCAGGUAAUAGGACAGAGGAG
rnacentral:ncRNA from 1 species